rnacentral:misc_RNA from 1 species
GCAUUAUGCAUGCAUGGUUGAUCUUCUUGGGCGAGGAGGUCUCUUGGAUGAAGCUAUUAGUCUAAUAAGAGGAAUGCCAAUGAAGCCUGAUAUUGUGAUUUGGGGUGCUUUACUUGGUGCAUGUAGGAUCCAUGGAAAUGUUGAGAUAGGGAAACAAAUCCUAAAACAGUUAUUGGAGUCGGAGCCAUGCAGUUCUGGUGUUUAUGUCCUUGUAUCGAACUUGUAUUCUGAAGUUGGAAGAUGGCAAGACAUGAAGAACAUUCGAAAACUAAUGAAUUACCAUGAGAUCAUCAAGUGCAGAGCAAUUAGCUCAGUUGAAGUUGAGGGCUAUGUUUAUGAAUUCAUGGUUGAUGACAAGAGACUCGAAGUUUCAAGCAAUGUAUUCUCCAUUCUUGAUCAGUUAACUGACCAUAUGAAGUCAAUAGCGUACUUUUGCAACAUCUCAAGUCUUUGUUCAGAAACGUCGGAAGUAUAGUGGCAACAAGCCUUGAAAGUACAGUAUGUGAGCAAUAAACAAGAACAACUGCUAUGAACUGUAAGUACACAAACUCACUCAGGAUGGAUAUUUCUUCCUUUCAUUUUUGAAUUCUGGAUUUAUUUAUUACAAGCUUUUUACCGAGAUGCCUACGCUCUUUAAACAUUUGAAAUAUUCUUUCGAUAUA